rnacentral:rRNA from 1 species
CAUGCAAGUCGAACGGUAACAGGGGCUUCGGCCCGCUGACGAGUGGCGGACGGGUGAGUAACGCGUAGGAAUCUACCUAGUAGUGGGGGAUAGCCCGGGGAAACCCGGAUUAAUACCGCAUACGCCCUACGGGGGAAAGCAGGGGAUCCUUUGGACCUGCGCUAUUGGAUGAGCCUACGUCUGAUUAGCUUGUUGGUAGGGUAAUGGCCUACCAAGGCGACGAUCAGUAGCUGGUCUGAGAGGACGAUCAGUCACACUGGGACUGAGACACGGCCCAGACUCCUACGGGAGGCAGCAGUGGGGAAUAUUGGACAAUGGGCGAAAGCCUGAUCCAGCAAUGCCGCGUGUGUGAAGAAGGCCUGCGGGUUGUAAAGCACUUUCAGCAGGGAAGAAGAGCUUUGAGGUUAAUAUCCCCAAGGCUUGACGUUACCUGCAGAAGAAGCACCGGCUAACUCCGUGCCAGCAGCCGCGGUAAUACGGAGGGUGCCAGCGUUAAUCGGAAUUACUGGGCGUAAAGCGCACGUAGGCGGUUUGGCAAGUCGGAUGUGAAAGCCCCGGGCUUAACCUGGGAAUUGCAUUCGAGACUGCUUGGCUAGAGUUUGGUAGAGGGAAGCGGAAUUCCGGGUGUAGCGGUGAAAUGCGUAGAUAUCCGGAGGAACACCAGUGGCGANGCGGCUUUCUGGACCAAAACUGAC